rfam:Sus scrofa chromosome 7.
GGGGGUAUAGCUCACUGGUAGAGCAUGUGCUUAGCGUGCAUGAGGCCACAGGUUCCCUGGUACCUCCG